rnacentral:lncRNA from 1 species
AGGUGAGACGUGGUCUUGUAACACAGUGGUUAAGAAUGUGACUUUGGAGCCAGCCUGCUAGGGGCUGAAUUCUGACUCAGCCAUUUACUAACUGUGUGACCUUAGGUCACAGAAUUUUCCACACUCCUUGACGGAGGUGCUUAACCCUUAUCCAUCAGCAUUCUCAGACAGCACCUCCGGUUAGGGACAGUAUCUGACCGUCCGACAUCCCUGCAGCCCCCAUGUGUCACACAGACUCAGCCUCAGGUAGAUGGUUUCCGUAGAUGGUGGCUUUCUUUGGACCCUUGACAUCAACCAGUUACUAUUUGACUCUUCUGCAGAACCCCCUGUUGACCCCUGCUUUGAGGUGGCAGAGUUAACACUACUCUUCGUUAUAAGCUCUCGUCUGGGGCAACUCAG